UCCCUGUAGCUCAAAUGGUAAAGGGUCUGCCUGCCAUGCAGGAGACCAGGGUUCAAUUCCUGGGUUGGGAA
rnacentral:tRNA from 1 species